AAUGUCCCGCCAGACGCAGGUGGCCCGCAAGGGCUGAAACGGGAACGCGCAAGCGGCUGCCCCCGCAACUGUGAGCGGCCGGUCCCGGCGACGGGACCUACCGCGGCCCAUCAUGCCAUUGCCGAACGGCGAGAAGGCGGGCCGCGGCGAGGCCGCGAGCCAGGAGACCGGCCGGCGUCGAGACUGCGCG
rnacentral:ncRNA from 2 species